UGAAGAGUUAUCGGGUCGUCCGCCUCUGGCAUGGUGAGGGUGGGGGUCAUGGCUGCUGGUAAUCCUCGCGCCUGACCACGCGCUUGAACCCAUGCCACAUGCCGCCGCUGACGCCGCCAGCAUGCGCAGCGGGUCGCUUGGCGUCUGGCUUUCGAUCUCUUCGACAAUGACAACUGGCUCGCCAAAGAUCCCGAUAACUCGCCACAGCUUGCCUUGUCCAUCAACAUAAACAUCCAUCG
rnacentral:misc_RNA from 1 species